rnacentral:rRNA from 1 species
AGAAGAAACUUACAAGGAUUCCCCUAGUAACGGCGAGCGAACCGGGAGCAGCCCAGCUUGAGAAUCGGGCGGCUCGGCCGCCCGAAUUGUAGUCUGUAGAAGCGUCCUCAGCGGCGGACCGGGCCCAAGUCCACUGGAAGGUGGCGUCGGAGAGGGUGAGAGCCCCGUCGUGCUCGGACCCUGCCGCACCGCGAGGCGCUGUCGGCGAGUCGGGUUGUUUGGGAAUGCAGCCCCAAUCGGGCGGUAAAUUCCGUCCAAGGCUAAAUACAGGCGGGAGACCGAUAGCGAACAAGUACCGCGAGGGAAAGAUGAAAAGGACUUUGAAAAGAGAGUCAAAGAGUGCUUGAAAUUGCCGGGAGGGAAGCGGAUGGGGGCCGGCGAUGCGCCUCGGUCGGAUGCGGAACGGCUAAGAGCCGGUCCGCCGCUCGGCUCGGGGCGCUGACCGUUGCGGGUCGCGGCGGCGGCCUAAGCCCGGGUGGAAGAUCCCGCUUGGGAGACGCCGUCGCCACGAUCGGGGAGAGCCGGCACGCGCCGCAUGGCGUGCCCUCGGGCACUCGCGUGCUCACUGCAACGGCCAGCGGG